rnacentral:rRNA from 1 species
GACGAACGCUGGCGGCGUGCUUAACACAUGCCAGUCGAACGGAAAGGCCCUGCUUUUGUGGGGUGCUCGAGUGGCGAACGGGUGAGUAACACGUGAGUAACCUGCCCUUGACUUUGGGAUAACUUCAGGAAACUGGGGCUAAUACCGGAUAGGAGCUCCUGCUGCAUGGUGGGGGUUGGAAAGUUUCGGCGGUUGGGGAUGGACUCGCGGCUUAUCAGCUUGUUGGUGGGGUAGUGGCUUACCAAGGCUUUGACGGGUAGCCGGCCUGAGAGGGUGACCGGCCACAUUGGGACUGAGAGACGGAGCAGAAUCCUACGGGAGGCAGCAGUGGGGAAUAUUGCACAAUGGGCGGGAGCCUGAGGCAGCAACGCCGCGUGCGGGAUGACGGCCUUCGGGUUGUAAACCGCUUUCGCCUGUGACGAAGCGUGAGUGACGGUAAUGGGUAAAGAAGCACCGGCUAACUACGUG